CUGCCUGACCUCGUCCCGGUGGAAGGGAUCCUCACACCCCUAAAGCGUCCAUCCUCUCCCCAGCCACCGCAGUCCAUAGGCGCCCCCGUCCGUCUCCUCCAGCCCCUCCCUCCGGCCGCCCACCCCCUCGCUCAGCCCCCCUUCCACCCCUCCCAGGCCUCCAGACCCGCUGUCCCUGCUCAGACCCCAGGUCCCUGGCGGGAGUUUCCUGUCCCCAGCGCCCGUACUUUCCAUGACACAAGAGGAAGUCGGCUGAGCAGGGGCUGGGUUUUCCAGGCCGCCCGGCCCUGGGUGGAGGCCGAAGGUGGGGGUGAGGAGGGGGUUAUCACCCCCCAACCCCCACCCCAGGGCCGUGUCAGUACCUCGUCGGCCUCCGCGGGAGAAGCGCCUGCCUGCGCUGCCCGGGCCCACACCAGCACUGGCACACAGCUCUUUAUUGAAUGAAUGAAUGAAUGACAGGGAGGCUUUGAGCAUGGGCACAGGAAAGAGACUGACCAGCACACCAUUUCCUACCUCCAAGCACUGAGUUUCCAAUCUAGUUGGGGAGACCAUCCAACAGGCAGCCGGGACUAUGCAUGAGCCUAAUCUCUGGGAAAGUCAAGGAAGGCUUCCUGGAGGGAAUGACAUCCAAGCUGACACCUGAAGAAUGAGCAGGAGUUUGCUGCUUUGGUGGUGAGAUUGGUUUUCCACGCUGAGGGGAAAGGCUUCCGGGUCCUUUUAGCACAAUAACCAUGUUACUACAGGUGAGAAGGGUCUAGAAGUUGGGGGAGUUGGGUGUCAGUCCUGACUCAGCCUUUUAUAGGCUCUGUGUCUGGGGAUGUCUCCCCCUACCCCAAGAUGGUCCCUUAGAUUCCUCAGUCUGGAUUGGGAUGUUAUUUAAAGAAUACCAUCGAAAACAACCUGAAAAAUCAAUAUAGCCUUUAUUUGAAGGAUAAAAUGGCAAAAGUCACAUUAAAAAAAAAAAAUGCUCUUACACAGUGUUAUUUUUAGAGAGCUCUCAUGUGUUCCUCAGUGUGCAAAUCAAUAAAUGCAAGGGUAUUAGGCCA
rnacentral:lncRNA from 1 species